UUAACACAUGCAAGUCGAGGGGCAGCAUUACUUUCGGGUAGAUGGCGACCGGCGCACGGGUGAGUAACGCGUAUGCAACCUACCUUUUACAGAGGGAUAGCCCAGAGAAAUUUGGAUUAAUACCUCAUAGUACUAUUUUUUCGCAUGAUAAGAUAGUUAAAGUUUCGGCGGUAAAAGAUGGGCAUGCGUGACAUUAGAUUGUUGGCGGGGUAACGGCCCACCAAGUCUGCGAUGUCUAGGGGUUCUGAGAGGAUGAUCCCCCACACUGGUACUGAGACACGGACCAGACUCCUACGGGAGGCAGCAGUGAGGAAUAUUGGUCAAUGGACGCAAGUCUGAACCAGCCAUCCCGCGUGAAGGAUGACGGUCCUAUGGAUUGUAAACUUCUUUUAUGUACCAAGAAUGUGCCUUACGUGUAAGGUUUUGACGGUAGUACAUGAAUAAGCAUCGGCUAACUCCGUGCCAGCAGCCGCGGUAAUACGGAGGAUGCGAGCGUUAUCCGGAUUCAUUGGGUUUAAAGGGUGCGUAGGCGGCUUAUUAAGUCAGUGGUGAAAUCCUGCGGCUCAACCGUAGAACUGCCAUUGAAACUGAUAAGCUUGAAUAUAGUUGAGGUAGGCGGAAUGAGUAGUGUAGCGGUGAAAUGCUUAGAGAUUACUCAGAACACCGAUUGCGAAGGCAGCUUACUAAAUUAUUAUUGACGCUGAGGCACGAAAGCGUGGGGAGCGAACAGGAUUAGAUACCCUGGUAGUCCACGCCGUAAACGAUGUUCACUCGCUGCUUGCGAUACAUAGUAAGUGGCCAAGCGAAAGCAUUAAGUGAACCACCUGGGGAGUACGUCGGCAACGGUGAAACUCAAAGGAAUUGACGGGGGCCCGCACAAGCGGAGGAACAUGUGGUUUAAUUCGAUGAUACGCGAGGAACCUUACCUGGGCUUAAAUGUAGAUUGCAUGUGGUGGAAACACCCUUCCCUUCGGGGCUAUCUACAAGGUGCUGCAUGGUUGUCGUCAGCUCGUGCCGUGAGGUGUCGGGUUAAGUCCCAUAACGAGCGCAACCCCUAUCGUUAGUUGCCAUCAGGUUAAGCUGGGGACUCUAACGAGACUGCCACCGUAAGGUGAGAGGAAGGUGGGGAUGACGUCAAAUCAGCACGGCCCUUAUGUCCAGGGCUACACACGUGUUACAAUGGCAGGUACAAAGGGCAGCUACACCGUGAGGUGAUGCUAAUCUCUAAAGCCUGUCUCAGUUCGGAUCGGAGUCUGCAACUCGACUCCGUGAAGUUGGAUUCGCUAGUAAUCGCGUAUCAGCAAUGACGCGGUGAAUACGUUCCCGGGCCUUGUACACACCGCCCGUCAAAACCAUGGAAGCUGGGGGGACCUGAAGUCUGUCACCGUAAGGAGCGGCCUAGGGUAAAACCGGUAACUGGGGUUAAGUCGAAACAAGGUA
rnacentral:rRNA from 1 species